GUGAGUCAUCGAAUCUUUGAACGCACCUUGCGCUCCUUGGUAUUCCGAGGAGCAUGCCUGUUUGAGUGUCUUGAAGUCAUCAACCCUGUCCGUUUUCUUUUUUGAGCCGGGCAGUCUGGUUGGAUAUGGGGGAUUGCUGCUGUGAGGCGGCUCCCCCCAAAUGCAUCGGUUGGACCUGUGGGUUGAACUCGACUGGGCGUUGUACCAUCCUCGCUCCGAAAAAAACCGAGACGUUCCCACCAUCUGUGUCCUCCCCAAGACUGGCCUGUGGAGUGGCAGUCAAACUUUUCAAAUCUGACCUCAAAUCAGGUAGGACUACCCGCUGAACUUAAGCAUAUCAAUAAGCGGAGGA
rnacentral:misc_RNA from 1 species